rnacentral:rRNA from 1 species
UACGGAGGGUGCAAGCGUUACUCGGAAUCACUGGGCGUAAAGAGCGCGUAGGCGGGAUAGCAAGUCAGAUGUGAAAACCAUGGGCUCAACCUGUGGCCUGCAUUUGAAACUGUUUUUCUUGAGUACUGGAGAGGCAGACGGAAUUCCUAGUGUAGCGGUGAAAUGCGUAGAUAUUAGGAGGAACACCAGUGGCGAAGGCGGUCUGCUGGACAGCAACUGACGCUGAGGCGCGAAAGCGUGGGGAGCAAACAGG